GACGAACGCUGGCGGCGUGCUUAACACAUGCAAGUCGAACGGAAAGGCCCUGCUUUUGUGGGGUGCUCGAGUGGCGAACGGGUGAGUAACACGUGAGUAACCUGCCCCUGACUUUGGGAUAACUUCAGGAAACUGGGGCUAAUACCGGAUAGGAGCUCCUGCUGCAUGGUGGGGGUUGGAAAGUUUCGGCGGUUGGGGAUGGACUCGCGGCUUAUCAGCUGGUUGGUGGGGUAGUGGCUUACCAAGGCUUUGACGGGUAGCCGGCCUGAGAGGGUGACCGGCCACAUUGGGCCUGCGAUACGGCCCAGACUCCUACGGGAGGCAGCAGUGGGGAAUAUUGCACAAUGGGCGGAAGCCUGAUGCAGCAACGCCGCGUGCGGGAUGACGUCCUUCGGGUUGUAAACCGCUUUCGCCUGUGACGAAGCGUGAGUGACGGUAAUGGGUAAAGAAGCACCGGCUAACUACGUG
rnacentral:rRNA from 1 species